rnacentral:rRNA from 1 species
UCAGACGAUGCGUCAUGCAUAUCAAUAAGCGGAGGAAAAGAAACUAACAAGGAUUCCCCUAGUAACGGCGAGUGAAGCGGGAAGAGCUCAAAUUUGAAAUCUUAAAGGGUUUCCCUUUACGAAUUGUAGUUUAAAGAAGUGUUUUCUGUUGAGGUUUUGGUAGAAGUUCUUUGGAAUAGGACAUCAUAGAGGGUGAGAAUCCCGUAUUCGACCUUUACUUUCAACUUUGUGAUACACUUUCAAAGAGUCGGAUUGUUUGGGAAUGCAGUCCAAAAUGGGUGGUAAAUUUCAUCUAAAGCUAAAUAUUGGCGAGAGGACCGAUAGCGAACAAGUACCGUGAGGGAAAGAUGAAAAGAACUUCGAAAAGAGAGUUAAACAGUACGUGAAAUUGUCAAAAGGGAAGCGUUUGACACCAGUGUUGUUUUUCUGAAAAUCAAUUAAAGAACUGUUUAUGCUAAGUUGUUUAGACUUUAUCAGCUAUCUGUUUAGUUUUGAGCUUUUCUUUAAUGCACUUUUCAGUUAACAAGUCAACAUCAAUUUCUUUUGCUGUAAAAAAGCUUGAGGAAGGUGGCUUGAGAUUCGUCUUAAGUGUUUAUAGCCUCUUGCCUAUGCAGUCGGAGAGAUUGAGGUCUGCAGCGUAGAUCCUUCGGGGCUAAAUGCAUUUGUGCUAAGUUAUAGCAUUUUAUAGACAACUUGUUGACUAUGAUUUGUCUUGUAGCUUACUCGCUUAUGUUAUUUUACCUACGCUUAGGAUGUUGACACACGCGCGUGCUCG